rnacentral:rRNA from 1 species
GACGAACGCUGGCGGCGUGCUUAACACAUGCAAGUCGAACGAUGAAGGGGUGUUUGCACCCUGGAUCAGUGGCGAACGGGUGAGUAACACGUGAGUAACCUGCCCUUCACUCUGGGAUAACUCCGGGAAACCGGUGCUAAUACUGGAUAUGACCUCAACCUGCAUGGGUAUGGGGUGGAAAGCUUUUGUGGUGGAGGAUGGACUCGCGGCCUAUCAGCUUGUUGGUGGGGUAAUGGCCUACCAAGGCGACGACGGGUAGCCGGCCUGAGAGGGUGACCGGCCACACUGGGACUGGGACACGGCCCAGACUCCUACGGGAGGCAGCAGUGGGGAAUAUUGCGCAAUGGGCGAAAGCCUGACGCAGCGACGCAGCGUGAGGGACGACGGCCUUCGGGUUGUAAACCUCUUUCAGCGGGGACGAAGCGAAAGUGACGGUACCCGCAGAAGAAGCACCGGCUAACUACGUGCCAGCCGCCGCAGUAAAAC